ACGAACUGUGCAAACGUUAUUCGGAAUCACUGGGCUUACAGGGUGCGUAGGCGGCUUGUUAAGCAGGGUGUGAAAUCCCUCGGCUCAACCGAGGAAUUGCGCCCUGAACUGGCGAGCUGGAGUGGGACAGAGGUGCGCGGAACUUCCAGUGGAGCGGUGAAAUGUGUUGAUAUUGGAAGGAACGCCGGAGGCGAAAGCGGCGCACUGGGUCUUAACUGACGCUGAGGCACGAAAGCCAGGGGAGCAAACGGGAUUAGAUACCCCGGUAGUCCUGGUCGUAAACUAUGAGCACUAGCUGGAAGCGGCGUAUGCCGUUUCCAACGUAGCAAAAGUGUUAAGUGCUCCGCCUGGGGAGUAUGGUCGCAAGGCUG
rnacentral:rRNA from 1 species